GGGUGCUUAGCUCAGUGGGAGAGCGUCGCCCUUACAAGGCGAAGGUCGUAGGUUCAAAUCCUGCAGCACCCA
rnacentral:tRNA from 1 species